rnacentral:rRNA from 1 species
UACGUAGGUGGCAAGCGUUGUCCGGAUUUACUGGGCGUAAAGAGCGCGCAGGCGGUCGGAUCAGUCGAAUGUGAAAGCCCCCGGCUCAACUGGGGAGGGUCAUUCGAUACUGUCCGACUCGAAGGCAGGAGAGGGAAGCGGAAUUCCCGGUGUAGUGGUGAAAUGCGUAGAUAUCGGGAGGAACACCAGUGGCGAAGGCGGUUCUCUGGGCAUUACCUGACGCUGAGGAGCGAAAGUGUGGGGAGCGAACAGG